AAAUUGAAGAGUUUGAUCAUGGCUCAGAUUGAACGCUGGCGGCAGGCCUAACACAUGCAAGUCGAACGGUAACAGGAAGCAGCUUGCUGCUUUGCUGACGAGUGGCGGACGGGUGAGUAAUGUCUGGGAAACUGCCUGAUGGAGGGGGAUAACUACUGGAAACGGUAGCUAAUACCGCAUAACGUCGCAAGACCAAAGAGGGGGACCUUCGGGCCUCUUGCCAUCGGAUGUGCCCAGAUGGGAUUAGCUUGUUGGUGGGGUAACGGCUCACCAAGGCGACGAUCCCUAGCUGGUCUGAGAGGAUGACCAGCCACACUGGAACUGAGACACGGUCCAGACUCCUACGGGAGGCAGCAGUGGGGAAUAUUGCACAAUGGGCGCAAGCCUGAUGCAGCCAUGCCGCGUGUAUGAAGAAGGCCUUCGGGUUGUAAAGUACUUUCAGCGGGGAGGAAGGGAGUAAAGUUAAUACCUUUGCUCAUUGACGUUACCCGCAGAAGAAGCACCGGCUAACUCCGUGCCAGCAGCCGCGGUAAUACGGAGGGUGCAAGCGUUAAUCGGAAUUACUGGGCGUAAAGCGCACGCAGGCGGUUUGUUAAGUCAGAUGUGAAAUCCCCGGGCUCAACCUGGGAACUGCAUCUGAUACUGGCAAGCUUGAGUCUCGUAGAGGGGGGUAGAAUUCCAGGUGUAGCGGUGAAAUGCGUAGAGAUCUGGAGGAAUACCGGUGGCGAAGGCGGCCCCCUGGACGAAGACUGACGCUCAGGUGCGAAAGCGUGGGGAGCAAACAGGAUUAGAUACCCUGGUAGUCCACGCCGUAAACGAUGUCGACUUGGAGGUUGUGCCCUUGAGGCGUGGCUUCCGGAGCUAACGCGUUAAGUCGACCGCCUGGGGAGUACGGCCGCAAGGUUAAAACUCAAAUGAAUUGACGGGGGCCCGCACAAGCGGUGGAGCAUGUGGUUUAAUUCGAUGCAACGCGAAGAACCUUACCUGGUCUUGACAUCCACGGAAGUUUUCAGAGAUGAGAAUGUGCCUUCGGGAACUGUGAGACAGGUGCUGCAUGGCUGUCGUCAGCUCGUGUUGUGAAAUGUUGGGUUAAGUCCCGCAACGAGCGCAACCCUUAUCCUUUGUUGCCAGCGGUCCGGCCGGGAACUCAAAGGAGACUGCCAGUGAUAAACUGGAGGAAGGUGGGGAUGACGUCAAGUCAUCAUGGCCCUUACGACCAGGGCUACACACGUGCUACAAUGGCGCAUACAAAGAGAAGCGACCUCGCGAGAGCAAGCGGACCUCAUAAAGUGCGUCGUAGUCCGGAUUGGAGUCUGCAACUCGACUCCAUGAAGUCGGAAUCGCUAGUAAUCGUGGAUCAGAAUGCCACGGUGAAUACGUUCCCGGGCCUUGUACACACCGCCCGUCACACCAUGGGAGUGGGUUGCAAAAGAAGUAGGUAGCUUAACCUUCGGGAGGGCGCUUACCACUUUGUGAUUCAUGACUGGGGUGAAGUCGUAACAAGGUAACCGUAGGGGAACCUGCGGUUGGAUCACCUCCUUACCUUAAAGAAGC
rnacentral:rRNA from 1 species